CUGCAUAUGUGCAGAGUUUAGCCUUGUAAAGAGGGAUGAAGAAUUAUCCAGUAGCCCUCCUCUUGCUCAACUUUUGCGGGGAGGGAGUUGAUUCAAAUCUUGAGUUCCCCCAGUGUGCGAAGCCUGAAGUGAAGAUGUUCCUAUUGGUACCUCCCCUACUGCUUAGGGAGGAAAUGUGAAAAGGCCAAGCCUCCAGAAGGGUAUGCAGGAGGUGGAGAGCUAAAAAGCAGGAUGUUCUGUGCAACAUGGCCUUGAAGAGAAGACCAUAGAGAGUUUGCAGCAACAGUGUUUCUUUUGUUAAGGAAAUCCUCUAGCAUUCCCACGCUACAUAAACAUUUGAACUGUAUCAAACCUGAAGCUGGGAGAUAGGCAAGAACUAUACAUAUCUUUACAGACUUGCUUUUGGCAAUGAUUUUUUGAUUAGUUAUCUGCUUUUUCAAAGAAAGGAAUCUAUCUUUAUAUCUGUUCAUCACUUCAGCUUGUUGGAGAAGCAAGAAUGGGAAAAAAAUAUAUCAAUAUUUAUAAUAUGAACUGAUCGUUUGACCUGUCAAAACGAAUCUUUUAAAUUCAAAGCUAGAGCCUAGCCUCACCAGAACCACCAUUAUUAUUCAUCAUUGUAGCUGAGGAAGAAGUGAACUGAAGCAAGCACAACAGCUUUUGUAAUUUUGGUUAGCAACCAGUACCUAAAAGUGGUAGUUACAGAAAAGGAAUGUUGAAGUGUGAAAAGCGUAUUAAAACCCUAGACAAGUUUCUGGAAUAUCUGCACUUGUUUCUUAAUGUCAUAUCCAUAAAGUAGCAAUAUCAUAUUCCUCUUAAAAAUCACCAUCACAACAGAAAGAUUAUUUCAUGGCAAGUACAUUUUUAUCUGAGUAUAUCUUGAACUCUGUUUUA